rnacentral:rRNA from 1 species
CUGGCUCAGGAUGAACGCUGGCGGCGUGCUUAACACAUGCAAGUCGAACGAAGCAUUUACUUACGAUCUCUUCGGAGUGACGAGUUUAUGACUGAGUGGCGGACGGGUGAGUAACGCGUGGGUAACCUGCCUUGUACAGGGGGAUAACAGUUAGAAAUGACUGCUAAUACCGCAUAAGCGCACAGUAUUGCAUGAUACAGUGUGAAAAAACUCCGGUGGUACAAGAUGG